rnacentral:lncRNA from 1 species
CAAAAUCAGUGACAUGAUUAUGAGCCUCAACAAAUAAAAGUACAACUAGUUCUUCACUAUCUCAACUACAGUUGCAGUGUUGUUCUGAUCAUUUAUCAUUUCUGAUUUUCUCAUUAUUCUAUUCCUUUUUUCAAAUCCUCCAGGUUCUUUUCAUAUGCCCCUCAUUGUCACAAUGAUAACAAUUAAAUUUUCCUUUAUUGUGUCCUUUAGGAUCUCUGUUUUUACGUCUAUCCUUGUUCUCCAUGACAAGGACCUAUGAGGUAUUAAUGCCCAUAUCUUUUCUUUUAAUAUCUUCAUUAUACAGACUAUCUAUGACUAUAGAUAAAGACAAAAUACU